rnacentral:siRNA from 1 species
ACCUACGUAUGAUGAUGCAAUGU